rnacentral:rRNA from 1 species
UGUGAUGCUAAGCAUGUGAGCUUGUCUUGGGAGUGUUUUUGAUGCUUCUGGGGUGGGUGAGUGUGUGAACCGAUCAUGUAGUAGGCAAGCUGCGGAGGGACGCAGUGAGGUAGCUCAUCCCCGGUGAUGGUUGUCCGGGGCUAAGUGUGUGGACUGUCUGGUAGGUAAAUCCGCUGGGCGUGAAGGUUGAGGCAUGAUGGGGAGCCCAUGGUUGUGGGUGAGUGAGUGAUCCUGUACUGUCGAGAAAAGCUUCGUGAGCGAGGUGGCGGGUCCGCCCGUACCCUAAACCGACACUGGUGGAUAGGUAGAGUAUACCGAGGCGAUCGAGUGAAUCGUGGUGAAGGAACUCGGCAAAAUGCCCCCGUAACUUUGGGAUAAGGGGGACCUGAGCUGUCGUGCACCCGUGCGGUGUGGUGGCGGUGAGGGGCGCAGAGUCCAGGGGGAAACGACUGUUUACCAAAAACACAGGUCCGUGCGAAGUCGUAAGACGAUGUAUACGGACUGACUCCUGCCCGGUGCUGGAAGGUUAAGGGGAACUGUGAGUGUAUGCGUAGCGGUGAACUUAAGCCCCAGUAAACGGCGGUGGUAACAAUAACCAUCCUAAGGUAGCGAAAUUCCUUGUCGGGUAAGUUCCGACCUGCACGAAUGGAGUAACGACUUCCCCGCUGUCUCAACCAUGAACUCGGCGAAAUUGCAUUACGAGUAAAGAUGCUCGUUACGCGCAGAAGGACGGAAAGACCCCGUGACCUUUACUAUAGUUUGGUAUUGGUAUUCGGUGUGACUUGUGUAGGAUAGGUGGGAGACUGUGAAGCGGGCACGCCAGUGUUCGUGGAGUCGCCGUUGAAAUACCACUCUGGUCACUCUGGAUAUCUAACUUCGGCCCGUGAUCCGGGUCAGGGACAGUGCCUGAUGGGUAGUUUAACUGGGGCGGUUGCCUCCCAAAAUGUAACGGAGGCGCCCAAAGGUUCCCUCAGCCUGGUUGGCAAUCAGGUGUCGAGUGCAAGUGCACAAGGGAGCUUGACUGUGAGAGUGGCAGCUCGAGCAGGGACGAAAGUCGGGACUAGUGAUCCGGCGGCUCGUUGUGGAACGGCCGUCGCUCAACGGAUAAAAGGUACCUCGGGGAUAACAGGCUGAUCUUGCCCAAGAGUCCAUAUCGACGGCAUGGUUUGGCACCUCGAUGUCGGCUCGUCGCAUCCUGGGGCUGGAGUAGGUCCCAAGGGUUGGGCUGUUCGCCCAUUAAAGCGGUACGCGAGCUGGGUUCAGAACGUCGUGAGACAGUUCGGUCCCUAUCCUCUGCGCGCGUUGGAAAUUUGAGAAGGUCUGUCCUUAGUACGAGAGGACCGGGACGGACGAACCUCUGGUAUGUCAGUUGUACCGCCAGGUGCAUGGCUGAUUAGCUACGUUCGGGAUGGAUAACCGCUGAAAGCAUCUAAGCGGGAAGCCGGCUUCGAGAUGAGAUUUCCUUGCCCCUUUGAGGGUGUGAGGCCCCCAGCUAGAACACUGGGUUGAUAGGCUGGAUGUGGAAGCGAGGACUGAAGACUCGUGAAGCUGACCAGUACUAAUAGGCCGAUA